rnacentral:rRNA from 1 species
AGACGUCUACAUUAGAUACCCGCGUAGUCCUGGCCGUAAACGAUGUGGACUUGGUGUUGGAAUGGCUCCGAGCUGCUCCAGUGCCGAAGGGAAGCUGUUAAGUCCACCGCCUGGGAAGUACGGUCGCAAGACUGAACUUAAAGGAAUUGCGGGGGAGCACCACAACGCGUGGAGCCUGCGGUUUAAUUGGAUUCAACGCCGGACAUCUCACCAGGGGCGGCAGCAGAAUGAUGGCCAGGUUGAUGACCUUGCUUGACAGGCUG